CAGUAGCCGCGGGAAUACGUAGGGUGCGAGCGUUAAUCGGAAUUACUGGGCGUAAAGCGUGCGCAGGCGGUUCGUUAAGACAGAUGUGAAAUCCCCGGGCUUAACCUGGGAACUGCAUUUGUGACUGGCGAGCUAGAGUAUGGCAGAGGGGGGUAGAAUUCCACGUGUAGCAGUGAAAUGCGUAGAGAUGUGGAGGAAUACCGAUGGCGAAGGCAGCCCCCUGGGCCAAUACUGACGCUCAUGCACGAAAGCGUGGGGAGCAAACAGGAUUAGAUACCCGAGUAGUCCCUGUCUCUUAUAC
rnacentral:rRNA from 1 species